rnacentral:snoRNA from 1 species
AAAGCAUCUUAAACAGGUCGUGGUCUCUGAUCAGUAGACCAGGAUUUGGUAGCUGGUGCUAAAAUCAAUUCUCUCCUGCAACACUCCCACUGGCAGCUGCUGUGCCUUUUGGGACUUCUACUGGAGAGAUACAAAC